GUAAGAUAAGCUAAAUAAUAAGCUAGUGGGUUCAUACCCCAAAUAUGAAAUUAUAUUCUCUUACUA
rnacentral:tRNA from 1 species